rnacentral:rRNA from 1 species
GCUUAGAGUAAGUAAAGUCGUAACAGGUUUCCGUAGGUGAACCUGCGGAAGGAUCAUUAUUGAAAUAAACCUGAUGGGUUGUUGCUGGUUCUCCAGGGAGCAUGUGCACACCUUGUCAUCUUUAUAUCUCCACCUGUGCACUUUUUGUAGACCUUUUCAGGUCUAUGUUGCUUCAUUUUACCCCAAUGUAUGUUAAUAGAAUGUUGUACCUAUAUAAUAUAUACAACUUUCAGCAACGGAUCUCUUGGCUCUCGCAUCGAUGAAGAACGCAGCGAAAUGCGAUAAGUAAUGUGAAUUGCAGAAUUCAGUGAAUCAUCGAAUCUUUGAACGCACCUUGCGCUCCUUGGUAUUCCGAGGAGCAUGCCUGUUUGAGUGUCAUUAAUAUAUAUCAACCCUCUCUCUUGUAGUGAGUGGUUUGGAUGUGGGGGUUUUGCUGGCCUCUUUGAAAAAAGGGCUCAGCUCUCCUGAAAUGCAUUAGCAGAACAAACCUGUUCAUUGGUGUGAUAACUAUCUGCGCCAUUGAAUGUGAGGGGCAGUUCAGCUUUCUAACAGUCCUUCGUUGGACAAUUCAUCAUUAAUGUGACCUCAAAUCAGGUAGGACUACCCGCUGAACUUAAGCAUAUCAAUAAGCGGAGGAAAAGAAACUAACAAGGAUUCCCCUAGUAACUGCGAGUGAAGCGGGAAAAGCUCAAAUUUAAAAUCUGGCGGUCUUUUGGCUGUCCGAGUUGUAAUCUAGAGAAGUGUUAUCCGCGCUGGACCGUGUACAAGUCUCCUGGAAUGGAGCAUCAUAGAGGGUGAGAAUUCCGUCUUUGACAUGGACUGCCAGGGCCUUGUGAUGCGCUCUCAAAGAGUCGAGUUGUUUGGGAAUGCAGCUCAAAAUGGGUGGUAAAUUCCAUCUAAAGCUAAAUUAUUGGGCGAGAGACCCGAAUAGCGAACCAAGUACCGUGAGGGGGAAAGAUGAA